rnacentral:rRNA from 1 species
GAUUUCUGGCUUGUAACCUGUCGCCGGCCACGGUUUCGUGUGUCAGUGCGGCUGGUUCUGGCCAUCCUUCUCGUCGCGUCUGUCUAUUCUUCACUGAGUGGACAGCGGGGCGGGAUCGUUUACUUUGAAAAAAUUAGAGUGUUUCAAGCAGGCUGUAUGCUAUGAAUACAUUAGCAUGGAAUAAUAAUUUAGGACUUCGGUUCUAUUUUGUUGGUUUCUAGGACUGAAGUAAUGAUUGAUAGGGAUAGUUGGGGGUGCUAGUAUUCAGCGGCCAGAGGUGAAAUUCUCGGAUUCGCUGAAGACUAACUUAUGCGAAAGCAUU